rnacentral:lncRNA from 1 species
CACCUAGGCAGGAAGCCCAAACAAGGUCUGAAGUGCUCCCAGUUCCCCAGCUCCUAUGGAUCCCUGGGCUGGAUGCUGUUCUCUUGGUUUGGAAGUACACUGACCAACCCAGCUUGCCUUCAUCAGUGGGGAUCCAUCAGCUAAGGCUAAGUAGAACCCGAACAAGGUAGGAGCGCCCCCUCCUGGAUGAGCCUCUGUGAGUCCCUCACUUUUGUCUUUAAAAGGAGCUACUCCGG